rnacentral:sRNA from 1 species
AUUCGCCCUUCAUGUCUGCCUCAGUCUCUGACCCUGGUAAUAACCGUGUGAAGUCCCGGGGAUGUUUUGAUUUCUGAGAAGACACACACGGAUUGCAGUGGGCUUCUGAUGAUGUCAAGGUUGGAUGCAUGUGGCUGACUGAUAGCUCUUUGUUUUCCACAAUCCUUUGCCUAGGAAAAAGGAAUCCAAGUGUGUUUUAACCAUGCUGACCAGCAAGGGGCAGGGAUUCCUUCAUGGGGGCUUGUGUCUCUGGCUGUGUGUGUUCACACCUUUCUUUAAAGGCUGUGUGGGCUGUGCAACUGAGGAGAGGCUCUUCCACAAACUGUUUUCUCAUUACAACCAGUUCAUCAGGCCUGUGGAAAACGUUUCCGACCCUGUCACGGUACACUUUGAAGUGGCCAUCACCCAGCUGGCCAACGUGAAACCUUUAUGGGCUGCAGAGAUCGGAAGCACUUCACAGAAGAGGAUGAAGUAAACCAGAUCAUGGAAACCAAUUUGUGGCUGCGUCACAUCUGGAAUGAUUAUAAAUUGCGCUGGGAUCCAAUGGAAUAUGAUGGCAUUGAGACUCUUCGCAUUCCUGCAGAUAAGAUUUGGAAGCCCGACAUUGU